rnacentral:rRNA from 1 species
AGCGAACGCUGGCGGCAGGCUUAACACAUGCAAGUCGAGCGGGCAUCUUCGGAUGUCAGUGGCAGACGGGUGAGUAACACGUGGGAACGUACCCUUCGGUUCGGAACAACUCUGGGAAACUGGAGCUAAUACCGGAUACGCCCUUAUGGGGAAAGGUUUACUGCCGAAGGAUCGGCCCGCGUCUGAUUAGCUAGUUGGUGGGGUAACGGCCUACCAAGGCGACGAUCAGUAGCUGGUCUGAGAGGAUGAGCAGCCACACUGGGACUGAGACACGGCCCAGACUCCUACGGGAGGCAGCAGUGGGGAAUAUUGGACAAUGGGCGCAAGCCUGAUCCAGCCAUGCCGCGUGAGUGAUGAAGGCCUUAGGGUUGUAAAGCUCUUUUGUCCGGGACGAUAAUGACGGUACCGGAAGAAUAAGCCCCGGCUAACUUCGUG